CUCCUCUCUCGAGCAGGGGCACCCGGAUCCCCUAUUCCUCUUUAUCCCCAACACGCAGACACUCGCAGGGUCCCGCGCUCACUUCUGUACGCCGGCCGCCGCUCCAGAGCAAGAUGACCUUGCGGCUGGACACCCAUUUCGUGGCUGCACUUGCUGCCAGGUGUGGCCAGAGGGGAGCGGGAGCCAAGUAAUGUCAUCAGAGCCUUAAGACAUUGGGUAAGUUCUUCUUUCGCGAGCUGGACCCGAUGCACCUGGGACUGAGCUUUGACCAUGCACUUGAGGAGAAGUCCCUAAGAGAGAGCAAAGCAACCACAUGGAAGGAAGCCACGUCUCCGACUGACCAGGUGGAACCGAACUGCCUGCCGUCGAGAACUGCUCCACUGAGACUGUUACACGAAGAAUAAACUUGUUUUCUCUAA